rnacentral:rRNA from 1 species
GAUGAACGCUGGCGGCGUGCCUAAUACAUGCAAGUCGAGCGAACGGACGAGAAGCUUGCUUCUCUGAUGUUAGCGGCGGACGGGGGAGUAAAACGUGGAUAACCUACCUAUAAGACUGGGAUAACUUCGGGAAACCGUAGCUAAUACCGGAUAAUAUUUUGAACCGCAUGGUUCAAAAGUGAAAGACGGUCUUGCUGUCACUUAUAGAUGGAUCCGCGCUGCAUUAGCUAGUUGGUAAGGUAACGGCUUACCAAGGCAACGAUGCAUAGCCGACCUGAGAGGGUGAUCGGCCACUCUGGAACUGAGACACGGUCCAGGCUCCUACGGGAGGCAGCAGUAGGGAAUCUUCCGCAAUGGGCGAAAGCCUGCCGGAGCAACGCCCCGUGAGUGAUGAACCUCUUCGGAUCGUAAAACUCUGUUAUUAGGGAAGAACAUAUGUGUAAGUAACUGUGCACAUCUUGACGGUACCUAAUCAGAAAGCCACGGCUAACUACGUG